AGACAGCAGCAGCCGCGGUAAUACGUAGGUGGCAAGCGUUGUCCGGAAUUAUUGGGCGUAAAGCGCGCGCAGGCGGAUCAGUUAGUCUGUCUUAAAAGUUCGGGGCUUAACCCCGUGAUGGGAUGGAAACUGCUGAUCUAGAGUAUCGGAGAGGAAAGUGGAAUUCCUAGUGUAGCGGUGAAAUGCGUAGAUAUUAGGAAGAACACCAGUGGCGAAGGCGACUUUCUGGACGAAAACUGACGCUGAGGCGCGAAAGCCAGGGGAGCGAACGGGAUUAGAUACCCGCGUAGUCCCUGUCUCUUAUACA
rnacentral:rRNA from 1 species